CAUUACAAGUGAGGCUACCGAACGUUGGAAACAGCGGUUAGGAGCUUACACCCACCCGUGUUUACAUACUAUUGUUGCUUUGGCGGGCCGUGGCCUCCACUGCGGGCUCUGCUCGUGUGUGCCCGCCAGAGAACCAAACUCUGAAUGUUAGUGAUGUCCGAGUACUAUCUAAUAGUUAAAACUUUCAACAACGGAUCUCUUGGUUCUGGCAUCGAUGAAGAACGCAGCGAAAUGCGAUAAGUAAUGUGAAUUGCAGAAUUCAGUGAAUCAUCGAAUCUUUGAACGCACAUUGCGCCCUGUGGUAUUCCGCAGGGCAUGCCUGUUCGAGCGUCAUUUAACCACUCACGCCUAGCGUGUAUUGGGGCACGCGGUCUCCGCGGCCCUCAAAAUUAGUGGCGGCGCCGGUGGGCUCUAAGCGUAGUACAUACUCCCGCUAUAGAGUUCCCCCGGUGGCUCGCCAGAACCCCAAUUUUUACAGGUUG
rnacentral:rRNA from 1 species